GUGAGUUACCACCAUUUUGUCAGGGCGUCCUGAUUAAGAACAAAGCGCUCCUCAUUUAACUGUGGAACAUUCUGGUGCUGUUGGAUUUGACUACUUGAAAUGCGAACACUCUUGGUUUUAAUGGGAAGAUACUGACCCCAGAAGUGACGAAAACCAGACAAAGUCCCCACAAGAUGGUGUCUAGUCAGGUGAAGAUCCUAUACUUCGUCUAAUCGGGUCAAAGAUGAGCUUGAGUCUAGCCCAGUUGAUGAUGUGUGCGAGGCAUGUUGCACAAAGACAGCCAACUAUUCACAAUCUUGAUCACACCUAUGGAGAAAGUUGGAGAACUCAGAGAAAACCCACCCAAGCACCGUGAAAACAUACCAUCUCAACAAAUAAAGGCAGAGAAAGGGUCAAGAUUAUAUCUUAGAUUUGUUCUGUGAGGUAGACAAAUAUUGUUUGCAUCAUUGCUUUCUUUUCUGGUGCACAGUCUUGCUGAAACAAAAAAUGUAUUUCCCCAAUAAAAGUUAGAGGCAUACAUUUAUCCAUACGCUGUAUACAAGGAGAGUACAUAAGAAGAAACUUGAUCGUGACAUUGCCAGAGAUGUCUUUAGAAAUACAUUUGGGGGUGCAAAAACUCACAAAAUGAAAUCAUUAAAUGAGCUAAACCCAUGAAUAAAAAAUACUUAUUGCAUUUUUAUUUUUUUCCAAAAUUCCUAACAAACAAGUAUAGUUGGUGAUGCAAAUACAUCGUCUUCAAAAUUCAUACCUUAUAUAUAGUAAUAGAUUGACAGAUUUUGAUAGAUCGAGUAAUGAUCACUUUAUUAAAUCCAUUGAGGAAAAUGAAGCAAUUGUUUAGUUUCAACUAACGAGGCUCUUUAUACAGUCCAUUGGUUGAGUACUUCAACCCUCCCUGAGACUCAUGUAGCGGAAUAAAUAAUGCAUGAAACAAAUGACGGCCAUUUUAAGGUGGGUCCUCCACUAGACAUUGAUCUUACACAGUAUAAACGACCACAGCCACCAGAGCUGCAAGUCCCUUUGAGCUUGGUUGAGGGAGGUGGGGAAUGGUAGCUGGGAUGAAAUUUAUUGUGCCAGACUGUUACUUGGUAUGCAGGGUGGAGACAGCAAAGAUUGUUUUUGCAUACUUGCUCCAUCAUCCACAUUUCAGAGAUAUGAUUUGUUUCUCCUCUUUUGUUUUGUUUGUUUUGCUCUCGUCAGGUACUUCUGUGUGUA